AAUGAACGCUGGCGGCGUGCUUAACACAUGCAAGUCGUGCGCGAAGGUGGCUUCGGCUGCCGGAGAGCGGCGAACGGGUGAGUAACACGUGGGUAAUCUGCCUGGGAGCGGGGGAUAACCUGGGGAAACUCGGGCUAACACCGCAUACGUCGUUUGGGACACGUCCUGGACGGGAAAACUGGCCUCUGCUUGCAAGCUAGUGCUCCUAGAGGAGCCCGCGGCUGAUUAGCUAGUUGGUGAGGUAAUGGCUCACCAAGGCGACGAUCAGUA
rnacentral:rRNA from 1 species